rnacentral:misc_RNA from 1 species
AUACGAUUAUGGAUAACGCGAUACGCGAAAGAGCUAUGCCGCGGCAUCAAAUUUGAUAUUCAAAUGGACGAUACGUCUCUUGUUCCUGCGCUCGCCAACUCCAGCUCGAUCUGGACUGAUCGAAGAUUCGACGAACACCGGCAGAUCGCGAGACCGCGAGCUUUCCUGUCGGGUUUGUGUAUUAUACGUUUUCUGCGAAAGCAAUUCAGAAAUUGGCGGAAGCCGGUAAACAGGCGAAAAAUUCCAGGAAAUUUGGAAUACGAACGCGCUGGGUACGUAGGUAGGUAGGUACGUGCACACAUUGAAUCCGUGAAUUUUUCGCGAGUAUCCAGCCGCGGUAUAAUCUCGCAUCGAGUGGUUGGAUAGACUCAGAGGAAAAAGAACGGCGGGAGUACAGACGGAGAAACGUACACGCUAAGGGUGUAAGUAGAGGGAGCGAGCGAGAGAAAGAGAGUAUGUAUACGUAUGUAUUAGAAAGGGAAGAGCAAACGAGGGAAAAGGAGAAAGAAAACGCGACUGUAGAGGGAAGAAGGGGGCGGAGAGUUAAAGAGGAUUGCCGAUCCAUCCAUGAGGGACGAUGCAGUCUCUGAAUGCGAGAUAAAACCUCGCUGAUGCCCAGCAGAGCGAUCUGUGUAGUGCGAGUAAGAGUGCAAGCCGACCGUCAGGCGGAAAAGAAAGAAAAAGAUAGAGGGUUAAAGAGAACAGCGGGCAGAAAGAGAGACAGGGAGGGUGAGAAAGAAAGAGUGAUAGAGGGAGAAAGAGAGGGGAGAAGGGUGAGGAGAUCCAUUGAAUACAGCGGAAGGUAAAACUCGAGGUACCAGAUCCGAAGAGACGCUGAAGACUCUUCCAAAUCCAUAUAAAUUGUCGUAUUGUUAGAAGGCCAUGCCGCAUACCAAUUCGAGAUGACACGGAAAAAUCCACGGGGAAGAGCAGCGGCAACGAUUUUUGUCGCCAGCUUCCAACGCGAUCGCCAAGUCUAUGUCGUUUCCCUUCGACAUGG